UACGAAGGGGGCUAGCGUUGUUCGGAAUUACUGGGCGUAAAGCGCGCGUAGGCGGAUAUUUAAGUCAGGGGUGAAAUCCCGGGGCUCAACCCUGGAACUGCCUUUGAUACUGGAUAUCUGGAGUUCGGGAGAGGUGAGUGGAAUUCCGAGUGUAGAGGUGAAAUUCGUAGAUAUUCGGAGGAACACCAGAAGCGAAGGCGGCUCACUGGCCCGAUACUGACGCUGAGGCACGAAAGCGUGGGGAGCAAACAGG
rnacentral:rRNA from 1 species